AGAACGAACGCUGGCGGCGGGGCUUAGGCAUGCAAGUCGAGCGAGAAAGCCGAAAGGCGAGUAAAGCGGCGUAAGGGUGAGUAAUGGUUAGUCAACGUACCGAGCAGACGCGAAUAAUUUCUCGAAAGGGAUUGUAAUGCGCGAUGAGACCACAUGCCCUACGGGGUGAGCGGUCAAAGGUCGGGGAUCCUUCGGGACCUGGCGCU
rnacentral:rRNA from 1 species